rnacentral:lncRNA from 1 species
CUGGAGACAGCUUUUCAAAGUCAUGUGACUAGACCAUGUGACUUCCACUUAAAACUCCUCAGUAGUCCCAGUAGCUUAGGAUAAAGACGCGAAUCUUCGACGGGCCUCCUGGGUCCACACAGCUGGCUUCUCCCAACUCAACCUCCCUCCACCACGUGGCUUUCUCUCUGCUGAGAUGGCCACGGCAUCUCCUUGCUCCACCUGAGCCAGCUUCCUGGCUCCCUUCUGCAAGGAGCCACUGAUAUCACGGCACCGAUGGCGGAUGACAAAGGGCCUCGUAGGGUGCUCGGAACCUAGCGGAUCCUCAGACGAGAGGGACCCCCAGGGAGUGGACCUUCCUGACCCUUGCUGAUGGCCGCCUCCAGAGGAGGGAUGCAAAACCCAGCCUGGCUCCCCUGAGAACCGAGUUCUGCCAGACACCAACGCUCACGCCUUCCUUCCAUCGCCUGGUGAAGAAACUCUGGUUUUUAUCUUAGAGCAAUGGAGUCGGAACCGGGAUGUGGCUGCCCAGAAAGUCUCUGUGCCCCGCCCACCUUGUUGCUUCCAUUUUGAGGUCUGAAGACGUUUGGGAUGCCUGCUCCACACUCUCCUCCCCUGCCAUUUGGCUGCUACCCAGAGGAGGAGAAUGAGGAGGGAAAAAAAGAAAAAGAAAAGAACGAAUCCUUGUUAAAUGAAGUAAGAGCUGGAAGAGGAGAGAAAUGGAUCCUGUUCGAUGAGGCGGGAGCUGGAGAGGAGUGAAUUACUCUGCUGAGCAGACAGAGAAGAGUUUCAAGUUUUCGCAGCAGCUCAGGAGGAAAGGGAGAGAAGGACGCGAGGAUGCAGAUGAGUGGGGAAGAGGAAUCAGCAGAAAUUCUCCAGGGCGGGAAGAUGGAGGGGCGGGAGGAGGGCAUCUGGAAGGAUCUUCUCUGUUCCAAUCAGCACUUCCAUCUUGAGUAAA